CCCGGAUCCUCCCCUUUUGCGGCUGCUAAAGACAUUUCAGCCUGUCUUUUCAGUGUGUGUCCCUGUUGGAUGCUGCUUUGGAUCUGUUUAUUGCCCUCCCUGCAGUUUAACAGCAGGUUAUUUGAAGGCUGCGUAUCCUGAGCGGUGAAUUGAUUUUCAGGAACUUAUCUAUCCGCGUUUGGAUCCUCCUUCUCUUCUUUUUCGUCCUGGGUGAUUAUUGCUGCGAUUCGACUUUUCCCUCGCUGCGUGCCGAGUGAACAACCUCGGCUUACAACUAUUUAAAAGGGGAAUUCUGCUGCUGCCAUUUGGCUUCUGUGAUUUGUUUUAACCGGUAUUGUCUGGUCUACUGUGGGGUCGAGCAACGUGCAAGUAUCGGGGCUGGCUUGAAGACGACGUGGCCGCUCCUUUUGGGUUUUGCUUCCCUCAACCUUUUAAUCAAGUUCUUCAUUGGUUUUGUUUAAGCGGUGUAUAUGGUGAAUCAUAUUGUGCUUGGUGACUAUCCAUCAUAUUACGGUUGAAUUGUGACCUUAAUUCGCUGUUUCCUUCCUUUCUGUCAGAUUUAUUUUGCUUUUGGUUUCUUUCAGGAGCUGGGGUCCCACGGUGAAAGGUCUUUGGUGGUGCUAUUUCUACUUUUGUGUGUGUGUGUGUGUGUGUGUGUGUGUGUGUGUGUGUGUGUGUGUGUGUGUGUGUGUGUGUGUGUGUGUGUGUGUGUGUGUGUGUGUGUGUGUGUGUGUGUGUGUGUGUGUGUGUGUGU